AGUGAACGCUGGCGGUAGGCCUAACACAUGCAAGUCGAACGGCAGCACAGUAAGAGCUUGCUCUUACGGGUGGCGAGUGGCGGACGGGUGAGGAAUACAUCGGAAUCUACUUUUUCGUGGGGGAUAACGUAGGGAAACUUACGCUAAUACCGCAUACGACCUACGGGUGAAAGCAGGGGAUCUUCGGACCUUGCGCGAUUGAAUGAGCCGAUGUCGGAUUAGCUAGUUGGCGGGGUAAAGGCCCACCAAGGCGACGAUCCGUAGCUGGUCUGAGAGGAUGAUCAGCCACACUGGAACUGUGACACGGUCCAGACUCCUACGGGAGGCAGCAGUGGGGAAUAUUGGACAAUGGGCGCAAGCCUGAUCCAGCCAUACCGCGUGGGUGAAGAAGGCCUUCGGGUUGUAAAGCCCUUUUGUUGGGAAAGAAAAGCAGCAGGUUAAUACCCCGCUGUUCUGACGGUACCCAAAGAAUAAGCACCGGCUAGCUUCGUG
rnacentral:rRNA from 1 species